GCUCCGCAGCGCAGCAGACACAGGAUCUUGGAGCCUGCAAACAAGAAUGGUCAUUUUGCCAGAGGUGUUCCCUCCAAACCCACCGUGAAACACCUCACUGGAAAUCCUGUUUGCUCUCGCCAGCCCUUCGUGGUUCUCCAGCAGUUCCCUUCUCAGCCAGCACCUCACAGCCCAAGGCUGUGGGGAGUCAGAGCUGGACUUGCAGUUCCAGUUCCCAGCUGCUCUGGACCAUGCCAAGUGUGCAGCAGGUCCCUGAAGUACACCCAGAAAGCAGCCCGACCCCUUUGUGCGCUCAACACAGGCAAACCGUUCCUCACACAGGGUCAGACGUUGGCACUUUCUGUACCUGGCUGUGGCAGGUGCCAGCUGAGGAAAGGGCUGCAGCAAAAGGCUGCAGGGCUCCCGUGGGAUGCAAAGCAGAGGCUCCCCAGCCACAUGCAGCCUGCGCUUCCUGGGUGCCUGCUGCGACAUUUCCAAGUCUGAUCGGCAGAAGCGAAGAGCACUCCUGGAUAGACCUGCAGCAAACGAGAGCUGCUUCAACUUUUGGCUAAAUUAGAUGCUUUGCCACGUCCUGUCUCCUGACAGAAGCAGGCUGUGAGUGUUUCUAAUGCCACCUCUGAAAUGAAAAGGUGUUUCCUGCUGUUCUGUCUGCAUGCCCGAGUUCCUCGCCUGUGAAAUAAGGGCAACCCCAGCAGCUCUGAGAAAACGAAGUUCCUGAAGCACUUGGAUACCAUAGUGAUGAUCAGCAUGGAAAAGCCCAGGAGGAAGGGAAUAAAUCUGUCUGCAGAGCACUAUUUGAAUAGUGUGCAGUAAAUAAAGCAGGGGCCACAGAGCCAAGGGCGAGGAGCAGAGCAGGGCCUGGUGUGCAGGAGGGGCGAGGCCGGGGAGCUGCUGCAGGAGCAGCUCGGCAGCUAAUUAGAAGUAAACUCUCACCUUGCACAGGCACUAAAGGGACAAACUGCAGCUGCACAGGCAGCGUUUCUCAACUUGGGAGCCUCCUCCAUUCAAGAAACAAACACCUUCGGGCUGCAAACUUGGAGCAUGAGGAGGGUUUAGGCUGGAGAUUAGGAAGAAGUUCCUGCUGGUGGGGGUGGUGAGGCACUAGACAGGUUAC